rnacentral:rRNA from 1 species
GACGAACGCUGGCGGCGUGCUUAACACAUGCAAGUCGAACGGAAAGGCCCUGCUUUUGUGGGGUGCUCGAGUGGCGAACGGGUGAGUAACACGUGAGUAACCUGCCCUUGACUUUGGGAUAACUUCAGGAAACUGGGGCUAAUACCGGAUAGGAGCUCCUGCUGCAUGGUGGGGGUUGGAAAGUUUCGGCGGUUGGGGAUGGACUCGCGGCUUAUCAGCUUGUUGGUGGGGUAGUGGCUUACCAAGGCUUUGACGGGUAGCCGGCCUGAGAGGGUGACCGGCCACAUUGGGACUGAGAUACGGGCCAGACUCCUACGGGGGGCAGCAGUGGGGAAUAUUGCACAAUGGGCGGAAGCCUGAUGCAGCAACGCCGCGUGCGGGAUGACGGCCUUCGGGUUGUAAACCGCUUUCGCCUGUGACGAAGCGUGAGUGGCGGUAAUGGGUAAAGAAGCACCGGCUAACUACGUG